UUUUUUUUUUUUUUCCUGAAGACUAACCUCAAACUUUCUUGAUGCAGUUUGAGUAUAUUACUGACUUUUUCAUUUGAAGACUACAUUCAUGACCGUGUCCUCCCAUUGUCCCCUCCAUACAUUUCCAUUUCUAGUUUUCUGUAAGGUCAAAUUGAUUAGGUUUAUGCAACAAGUAUCUGAAACAGAAACAUCCAGCUAAAUCAAAAAGAAACAUGUCUUUCUCAAUGGCUUAUCAAUACACCUAAAUUUUAACAUACAGAGGUUGUAAUAUAAAUCUAAACCACAUAUCUUCUGGCAAGAUACCAGCAUUCCUUGACUAUGACAAAUUCAUCAAAGCAAAAAAGUACCCCUGUGAAACUUGUUAAUGACAUGGCGCAAUAUUUUCUCCCCUAAGGAAAAGAAAAAAGGAUGUGAGCAUUUUCCUUUAAUUAAAAAUGAAAACUUUCACUAAAGUAGAAUAUACCACAUAAUAUUUUUUUAAGUGAGAUUAUGCUAUGUUCGUGAAUCACUACUAUGUAUAAGAAAAUUAAAUAACAUAAAAUAAAAUUAUAACAAAUGGGUAAUUCAUGGAUGUACAAUGCAUUAAGUUUAAGACUUUUUUCUUAAGGUGGUAACAACCUCAUUCAAUUCUAUCAAGACUCUAAAGUCUGUUACCUCUUUUUUCUUCAGGAAUGAAAGGCAAAGCAAAUAAAGAAAUCACUACUAGAUAAGAAAUGAAAGGAUAAAAAUAUUUAUAUUAUACAUAAAUUGUACCUUUUCAGAAAAUACAAACUAUUUAGAAGAGUCAACGUCUGGUAUCUUCCACAGUUUAUUUAGUCAUAUUAUUUAUCUAUACAAAACCAACUAUAUGACAAUACUUAGGAUAAAACACCCUUUAAGCCAACACACAAAGCACUCAAUCACUAUUCCAUAUACACGAUAAACUACUUGACUCUAGCUAUUAAAUUACUUUCUUUGUCAAAAUAAAUAAAUGCAUUUAACAGAACCGUAGAUACUUGGUCGGGAAAGUAAUUCAAGAAAUACUCCAGCCAGCCUUCCUGCUUUUUUAGCAUAUGCAUCAAUCUGGUAAUAUGGGAUCUGUGCAUGCAACUUUCUGACAAAACAUAUAGUCACUCUGUGUCCAAGAAAGGCUAGAAGCUGGCCAUUUUGUACAAUAAACCAGAGUUCUGCCACUCUGAGUAUUUCACCUCUUACAGCUACCUACUUACUACCAUUUGUGUUUACGCAGGUGACAAAGUUAUGAGAUAUUUCUUAGGAAAAUGUUACCCAUCAUUUUUUUUCUUUUCAAUUUAAACACAAAAAAACCUUACUGUUGAAAAUCCACUCAGCUUUUAGAAACUAUUUUUCGUCUGCGUCCUUAGGGUUUUACUCUAAAAUAUUUACUCCAAUAUAUCCAGAGCUUUGUUGGUAUUUUCAAUUUCCCACCAUACUAUUCAGAAGAUACAAGUCAUUGACUCAUAUCACACACAUAAAAAUGAGACAGCAGAAAAUAAUGUGGCUUCAGCAAAGUCACACUGUAGUGAGGUCAACAUCCAGUUACCAUUGCAUCUUCAUUUUCAGUUUCUUCUACUUUUUCAGUUAAGACUAAUCUUUCAUCUUUUCUUCUGAUGUUUUCUACUGUGCUGCUUAUAAGUCACUCUAUUCUUCUACAUAAUGUAUCUAACAAUUGGAAAUAAAGCACUAAAAGUGAGAAAUGGCAGUAAGAGAAGGUCAGCAUAAAUCAUUAAGCUAUUUGUUUAAGAACUACCUAUAUUGUAGAGAAUUUUAUCAAGAGUUUGUUUCCAUUUUUAUGCAGUCACUAAUAAAUAUUCGCUUCCUAAUUGCAUGUGAAGUUUUUAAUAUGAAGUACAAAUACUCCUGGAAAAACAACUCCUCCUUCUUUCUUCCCUCCCCAUAAUAGGGCUAACAUCUACUGUCACUCUAAAACACAAUGUGAAAUUAAGUGAAGCUAAGGAAGAGAAAAUGCUUCAGGACAAUUCCAGCUCAGUGUAGGAGGUGCACAAUUACCCAAUAGCUAAAAAAAGGGACACUGAAAAUUUGCCAGUCUUUUCAAAAUGUAACAUCAUAUGGUAGCAAAGAACUUAACAAGACAGUGCUGAAGCUAGUUUAGCAGCAAAUUGGUAUAUAAAACAUUACAUACCUGAGCAUUUUGCAGUAUUUCUUUGAUUAAGGGAGUUUUGCUUAUUUCUACUUUAUGCUUGCCAUCCCCUCCUUUGCCCUUCAUAUUUUUCAAUCUUAGGAGGGGCUCACAAUUUCUACACUCUGGUUUGUAUUAAUUUCAAACCACACUGCAUGUGAGAUGGGCAGUGGGGAAAGUCAGGUUACAUGUUACAAUAAAAAUUUGGUUGUCUCACAUCUCUGCUUGUGAUUUCUAAAAUAAUCUGAGUCCUAUUUCACAUCAGCAUCAGCAAUGAAUUUCCAUGAAAGAAAUAAUCCCUUCUGAGCCUGUACAGAAUACAAUCAACCUUCACUAUAUUUGCUGGCUGGAGCUACAAUUUGAAAUUGGUUAACAUUCUGCUGACACUGCACAUAAAGAAACAGAGCCGAGCUCCCUAAGUACUAUUUAUCCUAGUCUCUUAACUGAAAUGCAAUAAAAAGUGGGUUUGAUACUGAAAUAAGGUAGCAAUGAAUAUAUAGUGAGAAAAUAGAUCUCUUGACAUUAUUUUUUGAGUUAGUUUUGUUAGCAGUGUUACACUUUAAAUGAAAUAUGAAGUGAGAUGAAACAUUUGUUUGUAUAAAAUUUUCUCUCUCAUGAAUUGCAAAGUUCCUUGGCCACAGACUAUUUUGUUGGGAAUGUGCCAAUCAAAUUCUGUUCAAUGAUACACCAGCAACAAAAAUCAAAGUUCCACUCUAAUAUAUUCCCUGUAGCAUGGUUAGAAGGCAUGAGACUCCAUGAUCAACCUUUUUUUGAGGGGAUAAUCCAUUCUCUUGUAUUAACAGUGCUUUCCAUAUGAAAAGUUUCCGUGAGUAAGAUUAUUAUUGUCUAUGAAGGGAGAGGUCCAAAAAACAUCUAAGCAUGUUAACUGAGAGCAACAUAGGCUGUAUAAAAUAAUAUAAAAAAGAUUGCAAAUUAUUACGUUUUAAAAGGAGCAUCCUUUCACUACUCUGAGUGAUGAAGCAGUUCCCAGAAUAAAACUCUAGAAAUAGCCAUUUGCUGAUCCACAUCCUGUUAAACUGUGGCACAUCGCCAGCUGGUGCAUAAUAAUUUGCAGAGCACCUUAUGAACAAGAACAGCUCAGAUUCUCAGAUGGUUUCAGCACAGACUAGCAAUCCAUAAUAGUGCCAGUAGAACCUCUUACCCUCCAUAAGGAAUAUGCAUUCAUACUGCAGUCACAUCAUAACACUAGAUUACAAAACUUCUGAAGUAAUCUCUCAGCUCCUUGAAUGUAUAGAAAAGACAACAUAUGUUCCAGUUCUGUCCCAUGU
rnacentral:lncRNA from 1 species